rnacentral:rRNA from 1 species
UAAGGAAUAUUGGUCAAUGGACGCAAGUCUGAACCAGCCAUGCCGCGUGGAGGAUGAAGGCCCUCUGGGUUGUAAACUUCUUUUAUGGGGGACGAAACCCCGGAUUUUUAUCCGGCCUGACGGUACCCCAGGAAUAAGCACCGGCUAACUCCGUGCCAGCAGCCGCGGUAAUACGGAGGGUGCAAGCGUUAUCCGGAUUCACUGGGUUUAAAGGGUGCGUAGGCGGGUUUGUAAGUCAGUGGUGAAAUCCCGAAGCUUAACUUCGGAACUGCCGUUGAUACUACAGGUCUUGAAUACUCGGGAGGUGAGCGGAAUAUGUCAUGUAGCGGUGAAAUGCUUAGAUAUGACAUAGAACACCGAUUGCGAAGGCAGCUCACUACAGAGUCAUUGACGCUGAGGCACGAAAGCGUGGGGAUCAAACAGG